GAAAUGAAACCACACCAUGGAAUUUGAAAUCUCCCACCUGCGUUUGUUUCGUGUUUGCUUGGUAUUCAUCUAUGUUUUCUUUCUGUAUUUACCUCUUUUCUUUCUCUAUUU
rnacentral:ribozyme from 1 species